rnacentral:rRNA from 1 species
AAGCUCUGUUGUUAGGGAAGAACAAGUGCGAGAGUAACUGCUCGCACCUUGACGGUACCUAACCAGAAAGCCACGGCUAACUACGUGCCAGCAGCCGCGGUAAUACGUAGGUGGCAAGCGUUGUCCGGAAUUAUUGGGCGUAAAGGGCUCGCAGGCGGUUUCUUAAGUCUGAUGUGAAAGCCCCCGGCUCAACCGGGGAGGGUCAUUGGAAACUGGGAAACUUGAGUGCAGAAGAGGAGAGUGGAAUUCCACGUGUAGCGGUGAAAUGCGUAGAGAUGUGGAGGAACACCAGUGGCGAAGGCGACUCUCUGGUCUGUAACUGACGCUGAGGAGCGAAAGCGUGGGGAGCGAACAGGAUUAGAUACCCUGGUAGUCCACGCCGUAAACGAUGAGUGCUAAGUGUUAGGGGGUUUCC